ensembl:snRNA U6 U6 spliceosomal RNA
GUGCUCACUUCGCCAGGACAUAUACUAAAGUCACAACAAUACAGAGAAGACUAGCAUGGCCCCUGAGCAAAGACGACAUGCAAAUUCAUGGAGCUUUAUGUAAUUUU